rnacentral:rRNA from 1 species
UAGCGAGGGGGCGAGCGUUGUUCGGAAUUAUUGGGCGUAAAGCGUCUGUAGGUGGCUUUUUAAGUCCGCCGUCAAAUCCCAGGGCUCAACCCCUGGACAGGCGGUGGAAACUACCAAGCUGGAGUACGGUAGGGGCGGAGGGAAUUUCCGGUGGAGCGGUGAAAUGCGUAGAGAUCGGAAAGAACACCAACGGCGAAAGCACUCUGCUGGGCCGACACUGACACUGAGAGACGAAAGCUAGGGGAGCGAACAGG